rnacentral:snRNA from 1 species
CGCUUUGAGCAGUGGCAGUAUCAUAGCCAAUGGGGUUUAUCCAAGGCGUGGUUAUUGCUAAUUGAAAACUUUUUCCAAAAUACAAUCCUUAGUAAUAAGAAUUUGACCUACUGCAUCCCUCCAUCUGCCACCCGAACACAUAAUGACGGACCAUAAGG